AGAAUCAACGCUGGCGGCGUGCCUAACACAUGCAAGUCGAACGCGAAAGGGGAGCAAUCCCUGAGUAGAGUGGCAAACGGGUGAGUAACACGUGGGUGACCUGCCUUCGAGUGGGGGAUAACGUCCCGAAAGGGACGCUAAUACCGCAUGACAUCCUGCUCUUGGACGAGCGGAGAUCAAAGCUGGGGAUCGCAAGACCUGGCGCUUGAAGAGGGCCCGCGCCUGAUUAGCUAGUUGGUGAGAUAACGGCUCACCAAGGCUACGAUCAGUA
rnacentral:rRNA from 1 species